UGAAUUAUUAACAAAUAUAUCAGGGGCAGAGCAGGAGAGGUUCUCUCCCUAAAAUAAAUAAAUAAAGGGAGUUCAUUAUGCACCAUGAACCUGCUUAAAUAUUCAUCAUGUUGUUAAUGAACCACAUUCAUUUUUAAAAUGUGCAAUCGGAGAUGGCGUCGAACAUGAUUUGAUAAUAAUAUAAUCUGCUUAUAAUGGUAGAAAGGACGAGAACAGUGAAAAUAAUUAUAUCUCUAAACAUUCGACAUGGUUUCUUCCUGGAUAACGAGCAGCUGUUUUUCAUUAACCGUAACGUUAUAUCCGUAGUGGAUCAACCUGGCACAGCUGGGAACAUUUAGAAGAGUACAAUGUGUUACCGAACCAAGAUAGCUGAACUAUUCCUGUAAUAAAGCAAAAAGAUCUAACAUGAGAACUUCUCCAUUCUAAACACAAACUUAGCAAAAGGGAGGAAAGUGAUGUUUUGGUUCCUGCAACUACCACAGUGCCACAUCCCAGAUUUAACCCGGCAUCGUUAGAUCUGUAGUCUUUCAGCUUAUUUCACUUAUUUCUCCCUUCUUGCCCGGCAUUCCCAACAUGAAACUGUAAUCCCACCCUACUCCAACAACAGCCCAAGUUUAGGAAUUAAUGCUACAAAUGACACAAACAUCAAGAAGAAACACCGGUGCAAUUCGACCGGCAAUUGUAUCGCUCGUUUCUGUACGUGUGUCCCGAAAGAAAAUCUUUGCAUAAUUUUGCUCUUGCCACACAAUAAAUAGCUUUUUCUGGUUGAUUAAACACA